GAUGAACGCUGGCGGCGUGCCUAAUACAUGCAAGUUGAGCGCUGAAGGUUGGUACUUGUACCAACUGGAUGAGCAGCGAACGGGUGAGUAACGCGUGGGGAAUCUGCCUUUGAGCGGGGGACAACAUUUGGAAACGAAUGCUAAUACCGCAUAAAAACUUUAAACACAAGUUUUAAGUUUGAAAGAUGCAAUUGCAUCACUCAAAGAUGAUCCCGCGUUGUAUUAGCUAGUUGGUGAGGUAAAGGCUCACCAAGGCGAUGAUACAUAGCCGACCUGAGAGGGUGAUCGGCCACAUUGGGACUGAGACACGGCCCAAACUCCUACGGGAGGCAGCAGUAGGGAAUCUUCGGCAAUGGACGAAAGUCUGACCGAGCAACGCCGCGUGAGUGAAGAAGGGUUUCGGAUCGUAAAACUCUGUUGGUAGAGAAGAACGUUGGUGAGAGUGGAAAGCUCAUCAAGUGACGGUAACUACCCAGAAAGGGACGGCUAACUACGUG
rnacentral:rRNA from 1 species